CAGUAGCCGCGGUAAUACGUAGGUGGCAAGCGUUGUCCGGAAUUAUUGGGCGUAAAGCGCGCGCAGGUGGUUUAAUAAGUCUGAUGUGAAAGCCCACGGCUCAACCGUGGAGGGUCAUUGGAAACUGUUAAACUUGAGUGCAGGAGAGAAAAGUGGAAUUCCUAGUGUAGCGGUGAAAUGCGUAGAGAUUAGGAGGAACACCAGUGGCGAAGGCGACUCUCUGGUCUGUAACUGACGCUGAGGAGCGAAAGCGUGGGGAGCGAACAGGAUUAGAUACCCCCGUAGUCCCUGUCUCUUAUAC
rnacentral:rRNA from 1 species